UACGGAGGGAGCUAGCGUUGUUCGGAUUUACUGGGCGUAAAGCGCACGUAGGCGGCAUAGUAAGUCAGGGGUGAAAUCCCGGAGCUCAACUCCGGAACUGCCCUUGAAACUGCUAAGCUAGAAUCUUGGAGAGGCGAGUGGAAUUCCGAGUGUAGAGGUGAAAUUCGUAGAUAUUCGGAAGAACACCAGUGGCGAAGGCGGCUCACUGGACUGGUAUUGACGCUGAGGUGCGAAAGCGUGGGGAGCAAACAGG
rnacentral:rRNA from 1 species